UGGCUCAGAACGAACGCUGGCGGAGUGCUUAAUACAUGCAAGUCGAGCGAGAAAGUCUCUUCGGAGGCGAGUAGAGCGGCGAACGGGUGAGUAACACGUAAGUAACCUGCCCCUAAAUUCGGGACAACCUUUCUAACGGAAGGCUAAUACCGGAUGUGGUCCUAAUGCUGCAUGGUAUAAGGAUUAAAGAUGACCUCUUCUUGAAAGUUAUUGUUUAGGGAUGGACUUGCGGGUCAUUAGCUUGUUGGUAAGGUAACGGCUUACCAAGGCUUUGAUGACUAGCCGACCUGAGAGGGUGAUCGGCCACAUUGGAACUGAGAUACGGCCCAGACUCCUACGGGAGGCAGCAGUAGGGAAUAUUGCGCAAUGGACGAAAGUCUGACGCAGCAACUCCGCGUGAGGGAUGACGGUUUUCGGAUUGUAAACCUCUGUUAAGUGGGAAGAAUAGGGUAUGUUUUAAUCGGCAUAUCUGUGACGGUACCACUUCAGAAAGCACCGGCUAACUACGUGCCAGCAGCCGCGGUAAUACGUAGGGUGCAAGCGUUGUUCGGAAUCACUGGGCGUAAAGCGAACGUAGGUGGGAAAGUAAGUUAGGAGUGAAAAUUAUCGGCUCAACCGGUAACCUGCUUUUAAAACUGCUUUUCUUGAGUAUGGAAGAGGAAGAUGGAAUUCCAGGUGUAGCGGUGGAAUGCGUAGAUAUCUGGAAGAACACCAGUUGCGAAGGCGGUCUUCUGGUCCAAUACUGACACUGAGGUUCGAAAGCUAGGAUAGUCAACAGGAUUAGAUACCCUGGUAUCCCUAGCCGUAAACGAUGGAUACUAGUUGUUGGGAGAUUUAUUUUUUUCAGUGACGCAGUUAACGCGAUAAGUAUCCCGCCUGGGGAGUACGCUCGCAAGAGUAAAACUCAAAGGAAUUGACGGGGGCCCGCACAAGCGGUGGAGCAUGUGCUUUAAUUCGAUGCAACGCGAAGAACCUUACCUGGUCUUGACAUGUGAAUGCAAUUUUCUAGAGAUAGAGAAGUUUCCUUCGGGAACAUUCAACACAGGUGCUGCAUGGUUGUCGUCAGCUCGUGUCGUGAGAUGUUGGGUUAAGUCCUUCAACGAGCGCAACCCUUAUCCUUAGUUGCCAUCAGGUAGUGCUGGGAACUCUAGGGAGACUGCCUGGAUUAACCAGGAGGAAGGUGGGGAUGACGUCAAAUCAUCAUGGCCCUUACGACCAGGGCUAGACACGUGCUACAAUGGACGGUACAAAGGGUAGCGAGACUGCGAAGUUAAGCCAAUCCCACAAAACCGUUCUCAGUUCGGAUAGGAGUCUGCAAUUCGACUCCUUGAAGUUGGAAUCGCUAGUACUCGCGGAUCAGCAUGCCACGGUGAAUCCGUUCCCGGGCAUUGUACACACCGCCUGUCAAGCCAUGAAAGACGGUAGUACCCAAAGUC
rnacentral:rRNA from 1 species